rnacentral:rRNA from 1 species
GUGCCAGCCGCCGCGGUAAUACGUAGGUGGCAAGCGUUGUCCGGAUUUACUGGGCGUAAAGGAUGUGUAGGCGGAUAUUUAAGUGAGAUGUGAAAUCCCCGGGCUUAACUUGGGGGCUGCAUUUCAAACUGGAUGUCUAGAGUGCAGGAGAGGAAAGCAGAAUUCCUAGUGUAGCGGUGAAAUGCGUAGGGAUUAGGAAAAAAACCAGUGGCGAAGGAGGUUUUUUGGACUGUAACGGAAGAUGAGGCAUGAAAG